AGACCAUGAUAGGGACAUCUUCUUUGAAAAUCCUUGAAUCUCUCACAAGAUUUAUAUUAUGACUCGCCUUCAUGUUGAGUAAAACUUGUGAUAUCCAUAUGAAAUU